rnacentral:rRNA from 1 species
GGUGAAACCGCGAAUGGCUCAUUAAAUCAGUCAUAAUUCCUUGGGUAGUGAAAAACUUUCCUCGGAUAACUGUGGAAAAUCCAGAGCUAAUACGUGCAACUGAGCUCCGACCUUGGCGUGAGCCUUGGGAAGAGCGCAUUUAUUAGAUUCAAAACUGACCGGUGUAAUCUUUCGGGAUAUGCCGUUUGUCAAAUGUUUGAUGACUCCGGAUAACUUAGCCGAGCGCUACGGUCAUCAGUACCGGCGCCGUAUCUUUCAAGUGUCUGCCUUAUCAGCUUUCGAUUGUAGGUUAAACGCCUACAAUGGCUGUAACGGGUAACGGGGAAUCAGGGUUCGAUUCCGGAGAGGGAGCCUGAGAAACGGCUACCACAUCUAAGGAAGGCAGCAGGCACGCAAAUUACCCACUCCUAGCCCAGGGAGGUAGUGACGAAAAAUAACGAUGCGAGACUCUUCCGAGGCCUCGCAAUCGGAAUGAGUCUAUUAUAAAUGUAUGGACGAGGAUCCAUUGGAGGGCAAGUCUGGUGCCAGCAGCCGCGGUAAUUCCAGCUCCAAUAGCGUAUAUUAAAGUUGCUGCGGUUAAAAAGCUCGUAGUUGGAUCUACUAAACCAUUUCGUGAACGAGUCGCUCUUUGCACUAGCGUUUCGCGCGGUUCCUCGAUUAAAGACGCGUAGUCGUCGGUUGUAUCUUUCCUCCGGGAUUGGUCGAUCUUCGCUCGCGUACCUAAGUCUUGCGGACGGCGGGACGUUGUCAUCGGGUAUAGCUCGUUCGCGUUUGGUACAAUUAAAAUUUUGUCGGCUCGCUCGGAGUGCUCUUUACCGAGUGUUCCAGGGUGGCCGACACGUUCACUUUGAAAAAAUUAGAGUGCUUAAAGCGGGCCUAUCUUCGGGCCGGAAUGUCUGUGCAUGGAAUGAAGUAACAGGACCUCGAUUCUGUUGUUUUUGUCGGUUUUAAUGAACCGAGGUAAUGAUUAAAAGGGACAGUCGGUGGCAUUAGUAUUGCGACGCUAGAGGUGAAAUUCUUGGACCGUCGCAAGACUGACUACUGCGAAAGCAUUUGCCAAGCAUGUUUUCAUUAAUCAAGAACGAAAGUUAGAGGAUCGAAGGCGAUCAGAUACCGCCCUAGUUCUAACCCUAAACUAUGCUAACUAGCGAUCCGCCGGAGUCAUUCCCACGACCCGGCGGGAAGCCCCAGGGAAACCAAAGUCUUUGAGUUCCGGGGGAAGUAUGGUUGCAAAGCUGAAACUUAAAGGAAUUGACGGAAGGGCACCACCAGGAGUGGAGCCUGCGGCUUAAUUUGACUCAACACGGGGAACCUCACCAGGCCCGGACAUCAUAAGGAUUGACAGGUUGAGAGCUCUUUCUCGAUUUGAUGGGUGGUGGUGCAUGGCCGUUCUUAGUUGGUGGAGUGAUCUGUCUGGUUGAUUCCGAUAACGAACGAGACUCUACCUUACUAACUAGUCGGCGGAUCGUAACCCUGAGAUGGUUAGUUUGUAUAGGAGGGUGUUUGCCGAGGUAUUCGUUUCCUCGAUCGUUGCGUGCGUGCGGAUUUAUCGGAAUAGUCGUUUAGGCGGCGAAACUGGUAUUUUCCACUAUCGUUCGGUCGGGGGGCUUUGCCGAAGCUGCUUUCUGAUUACUGCUACUGCUGGGGGCGUUCGUCGCAAUAUAUCUUCUUAGAAGGAUCAGCGGCGUAUAGCCGUACGAGAAAGAGCAAUAACAGGUCUGUGAUGCCCUUAGAUGUUCUGGGCCGCACGCGCGCUACAAUGUAAGGACCAGCGUGCUUUCCCCCUCCGAAAGGAAAGGGUAACCCGUUGAAAGCCCUACCCGAUUGGGAUUGGGGAUUGCAAAUAUUUCCCAUAAACGAGGAAUUCCCAGUAAGCGCGAGUCAUCAACUAGCGCUGAUUAAGUCCCUGCCCUUUGUACACACCGCCCGUCGCUACUACCGAUUGAAUGAUUCAGUGAGGGCAUCGGACUGGCCCUUCGGUUUUGAAACAUAGACCUUAGGCUGACGGAAUACGAUGUCCGAAC